CACGAGAGCGAGUUGAAGAUCUCACGAGGAACCGCGAGACUUGGAAUCUCCAAAAUUUGUCCGGGCCAAAGAGCGACAUCCGACCGGGGGGGCUGCUCUUCUUCAGGAGAUGCUGAGGUUCUGUCAGGAGUCUCGCACAUGGAUGAUCUGGGGGAAGGAAGAACUCAGCGAGGCUGUCAUGUAAACCAUCUCCUCUGGGGCCACCUUUCGGUGCACGUUGCUUCCUGCCUCAGGUAGAAACCUCAGUGUUUGUGCUGCUGCUGCUGCUGCAUGCUGUCCUCCUGCUGUGAAGGCGGCACCACUCUCAAAGGCAUUGAAAUGGAGAAGAGCUGCUCAGAGUGCUCAGAGCUCGCACAGAGCCUGUGCACACUCUGCAACAAGUGGUUGUGCUACCAGUGUACUGAUGUGCAUCAGCAUCAAAGGCCCCC